AUUCUGGGAUAAAGGUUCUGACUGCCUACCUCAAUGUUUCUCAUAACUUUUUAUACUUCUAUCAGUUCUCCCUUCAACCUCCUGUGUUCUGGAGACAACAAUCCAAGUCUAUCCAUGUUCUCUAGUGGGACUCCAGCUUAAAUGGGGCACCUUGGUCAGCAUGGACAAGUUGGGCUGAAGGGCCUAUUUCCGUGCUGUACGAAUCUUCUCCCCGCAGCUAAUACCCACUGAACCAGGCAUCAUUCUAGUAAAGUUCCUCUGCAUGCUCUCCAAAGCGUCUUAAACACCGCUAUCGUGUCCGCCUCAACCAGUACCUCUGGCAACGCAUUCCAGGCACUUGCUACCCUCCAUGUAAAAAAGAAACUGGCCCCACGCAUCAUAUCUGUCUAUCUGUUUCUGCCUGUCUUGUAAGGGUUGCCAGCUUGUGGGUGUCAGCCUUUGAUUCGUUGCUACGCCAACACCUGACCCACAAACGCCCAGAUUUUUUUUCCAUUUCGGUAGAUAUUUCACUUUUCAUUCCAAGUAUCCACUCCUCAUUAAAUUUCGUCGUAUUUUUUAUGUACACAUUUUUAAUAAAAUCCUUCUCUCCCCCCGCCACUCACUCAUUUUGUCGCCUCCUGCUGGCCAGCGACCAUAACGGCUGCUGGCGCCCGCCUCUUGCCUCAAAGACGCCAUUUAAAAACAGCCGCACUGCUGAGUGCUCGAAUCUUCAGUUUGGAGGACCACGUCUCCUGUGGGGGCUACGGGCAGGGAACGGCUGCGUUGGGGGAGAAGACCCAGCGGACUGUCAGCAUCCGCAGUACAGGUCGACCACUGAUUUUCUGGCAACUGGUGGUCCGGCACCUCCUUUAAUUUGGACAAAAUUACAAGAGUGCACUUGAAAUCCCCACCGGACGUCCCUCCGAAGAUGUGGCGCCUUGGCCGGGCGAGGCGACCAAUCUUGGCGUCAUUGGGACUUCCGCGGCCGAUCAGCUGGUCGAAUUUGCCCCCUGCGGCCAGGACUCUGGCACCCCGGCCUGGCUGGAGAUGGCAGAUCCGUUCCCAUAGCUGAUUUCCGAGGCCGACUUUGUGGGCUGGUAUCCUCUCGGAGGCCGUGACCUCUGUUUGUCCGGCAAAACAGAUAAUCCAGAAAGGCUCUGGAAACAAGGGUGCCGGAAAAUCUCUGGUGGGCCUGUGUUUUGCUUUUGGACUAUUUUCUACUUAUGUGUCUCGAUGUUAACUUUCAUAAAAACAUAGAAACAUAGAAAAUAGGUGUAGGAGUAGGCCAUUCGGCCCUUCGAGCCUGCACCGCCAUUCAAUAUGAUCAUGGUUCAUCAUCCAACUCAGUAUCCUGUACCUGCUUUCUCUCCAUACCCCCUGAUCCCUUUAGCCACAAGGGCCACAUCGAACUCCCUCUUAAAUAUAGCCAAUGAACUGGCCUCAAACUAGAUUCUGUGGCAGAGAAUUCCAGAGAUUCACUACUCUCUGUGUGAAAAAUGUUUUUCUCAUCUCAGUCCUAAAGGUUUUCUGUAAAUUUCAUAAUUCCUGUAAAAUGCUUUGGAACAGUUUGCUUCAUUAAAGGCAUGAUGUAAAUGAAAGUUGCUGUUGUAU